rnacentral:rRNA from 1 species
AUUGAACGCUGGCGGCAUGCUUUACACAUGCAAGUCGAACGGCAGCGCGGGCUUCGGCCUGGCGGCGAGUGGCGAACGGGUGAGUAAUGCAUCGGAACGUGCCCAGUAGUGGGGGAUAGGCCGGCGAAAGCCGGAUUAAUACCGCAUACGACCUGAGGGUGAAAGCGGGGGACCGAAAGGCCUCGCGCCCUUGGAGCGGCCGAGGUCGGAUUUGCUAGUUGGUGGGGUAAAGGCCUACCAAGGCGAUGAUCCGUAGCUGGUCUGAGAGGACGACCAGCCAGAUGUGGACAGAGACAGGGAACAGCGUCCGACGGGAGGCAGCAGUGCGGAAUCUUCGACAAUGGCCGCAAGGCGGAUGGAGCAAUGCCGCGUGAGUGAAGAAGGGUUUCGGAUCGUAAAGCGCUGUUGUUAGUGAAGAAGGACAGGGGUAGUAAAUGACCCUGGUUUGACGGUAAUCAAUUAGAAAGCAACGGCUAACUACGUG